rnacentral:rRNA from 1 species
AAUUCGCGCAGGAGAAAGCUUUGCCUGCUAUCUCUUACCCAUGUCUUUUGAGUACUUACGUUUCCUCGGCGGGUCCGCCCGCCGAUUGGACAAUUUAAACCAUUUGCAGUUGCAAUCAGCGUCUGAAAAACUUUAAUAGUUACAACUUUCAACAACGGAUCUCUUGGUUCUGGCAUCGAUGAAGAACGCAGCGAAAUGCGAUAAGUAGUGUGAAUUGCAGAAUUCAGUGAAUCAUCGAAUCUUUGAACGCACAUUGCGCCCCUUGGUAUUCCAUGGGGCAUGCCUGUUCGAGCGUCAUUUGUACCUUCAAGCUUUGCUUGGUGUUGGGUGUUUGUCUCGCCUCUGCGUGUAGACUCGCCUUAAAACAAUUGGCAGCCGGCGUAUUGAUUUCGGAGCGCAGUACAUCUCGCGCUUUGCACUCAUAACGACGACGUCCAAAAGUACAUUUUUACACUCUUGACCUCGGAUCAGGUAGGGAUACCCGCUGAACUUAAGCAUAUCAAUAGGCCGGAGAAAAUCAUUACCUAGAGUUGUAGGCUUUGCCUGCUAUCUCUUACCAUGUCUUUGGGGUACUUAGUUUCCUCGGGGGUCCGCCGAUUGGACAAUUUAAACAUUUGCAGUUGCAAUCAGCGUCUGAAAACUUUAAUAGUUUCACUUUCACAACGGAUCUCUUGGUUCGGCAUGAUGAAGAAGCACAAAGCGAUAAGUAAUGUGAAAUUGCAGAAUUCGUGAAUCAUGCAAUCUUUGAAGCACGUCUGGGUAUUCAUGGGGCAUGCUGUUCCACCUCUUUGUACCUCAGCUUUGCUGGGUGUUGGGGUGUGUUGUCCUCCCUCUGCAGGUACACCCUUAAAACAAUUGGCGACGGCGUAUUGUAUUUCGACCAAUUAAUCUGCGCCUUUGCCUCUUAACGACGACUCAAAGUACUUUUUUCCUGCUUUGACCUCCGAUAAGGUGAGGGCAACCGCCCUCAACUUUAACAAUUCAUAGCGCCGGAAGAAAUA